rnacentral:rRNA from 1 species
UGAGCAAUCUGCCCUUCUCAUCGGAAUAAGCGUUGGAAACGACGUCUAAUGCCGAAUACGACCUCCUUUCGCAUGAUCGGAGGUGGAAAGCUCCGGCGGAGAAGGAUGAGCUCGCGGCCUAUCAGCUAGUUGGUGUGGGUAACGGCCCACCAAGGCGACGACGGGUAGCCGGCCUGAGAGGGUGGCCGGCCACACUGGGACUGAGACACGGCCCAGACUCCUACGGGAGCAGCAGG